CUGGUGUCAGCCGCCGCGGUAAUACCAGCACCCCGAGUGGUCGGGACGAUUAUUGGGCCUAAAGCAUCCGUAGCCGGUACUGCAAGCCUUCCGUUAAAUCCACCUGCUCAACAGUUGGGCUGCGGGGGAUACUACAGCGCUAGGAGGCGGGAGAGGCAAGCGGUACUUAAUGGGUAGGGGUAAAAUCCACUGAUCCAUUGAAGACCACCAGUGGCGAAGGCGGCUUGCCAGAACGCGCUCGACGGUGAGGGAUGAAAGCUGGGGGAGCAAACCGGAUUAGAUACCCGGGUAGUCCCAGCUGUAAACGAUGCAGACUCGGUGAUGGGCUGGCCUUGUGCCAACCCAGUGCCGCAGGGAAGCCGUUAAGUCUGCCGCCUGGGGAGUACGGUCGCAAGACUGAAACUUAAAG
rnacentral:rRNA from 2 species